CCUAAUUAGGUUAAGUUCAAAGUAUUUGAGCUAAACUGAACCUGUUGUCUUUGAUCUAAUUGGAUUAGGUCUAUUUUAAUUGGACUCCUACCUAACUUGAAAGAGUUUCAAGUGUAGAAGGACUCCUCCAUGUCACUCUAAUUUCACACCAAAAAUUAAUUGCCAUCAUCCGCUUUUUAGCAUUAACAAGAGGAAGAGUCUUUCUUCCUUAUGACUCUUAACCACUUCUUAAUUUCCACUGAUUCCUUAAAUGUCAAAUGUCAGAAAUAAUUAUGAGAAUUAUGAGGCACAG
rnacentral:lncRNA from 1 species